GACGAACGCUGGCGGCGUGCUUAACACAUGCAAGUCGAACGGUGACGCACCUUCGGGUGCUGAUCAGUGGCGAACGGGUGAGUAACACGUGGGCAACCUGCCCCUGACUCUGGGAUAACUCCUCGAAAGAGGUGAUAAUACCGGAUAUCAUCCCCCUCGGCAUCGUGGGGGGUCGAAAGUUUUUCGGUCAGGGAUGGGCCCGCGGCCUAUCAGCUUGUUGGUGGGGUAAUGGCCCACCAAGGCGACGACGGGUAGCCGGCCUGAGAGGGCGACCGGCCACACUGGGACUGAGACACGGCCCAGGCUCCUACGGGAGGCAGCAGUGGGGAAUAUUGCGCAAUGGGCGAAAGCCUGACGCAGCAACGCCGCGUGAGGGAUGACGGCCUUCGGGUUGUAAACCUCUUUCAGCAGGGACGAAGCGAAAGUGACUGUACCUGCAGAAGAAGCGCCGGCUAACUGCGUGCCAGCCGCCGCCGUAAUAC
rnacentral:rRNA from 1 species